AGAGCCUGGUCCUGGGGGCCCCCCGACAUCAGCACACCGGGAAGGUCGUCAUCUUCACCCAGGCAUCCAGGCAAUGGAGGCCACAGGCCGAGGUCACAGGGACCCAGAUCGGCUCCUCCUUCGGGGCCUCCCUCUGCUCUGUGGACGUGGACAGAGACGGCAGCACUGACCUGGUCCUCAUCGGGGCCCCCCAUCACUACGAGCCUCCCCGAGGAGGCCAGGUGUCUGUGUGUCCACUGCCCCAGGGGCGGAGCAGGUGGCAGUGUGAGGCUCUUCUCCGUGGGGAGCAGGGCCAUCCCUGGGGCCGCUUUGGGGCAGCCCUGACAGUG